UGUUAUGAAAGAAUUAUCAUACCAUUUAUUCAGUUAAUUUAUGAUGAUGAUGAUGAUAUAUACAUACACACAGAGAGAGAGAGAGAGACAUGCAAAAGAAAUGAGAUACAUCAGAAAAGAAAAAAAAAGGGAUAGAAGAGCACCUAAAAGCACAGGAUAAUCCUUAUUGUGGUGUGAAAUGUUGUGGAAGAUUUCUUAUACCAUUUAUUGAUGAGUUAAUUUUAUGAUGAUAUAGAUAUGCCAUGCAUACUGGCAUUUUCUAAGAACCUAUUCAAGUAACGAGAUACAUCAAACACCAACAAAAGAUAGAAGAGCACCUAAAAGCACAGGACA
rnacentral:lncRNA from 1 species